rnacentral:lncRNA from 1 species
UAAAGACCUAAUGGUCCUGGGAAUUUAACCAUGGCCAUGGAGUCUUUUUUACAUUAUUAAUUGACAAAAAAUGGGUGCCCUUUACAGAUGUUUCAAAAUUAGGAAGCAAAAAGAAGUCAGAGGGAGCCAAAUCAGGACUGUAGGGUAGAUGCCUGAUGAUUUCCCAUGGAAACUCUUGCAAAAUCACCCUUCUUUGGUGAGAGGAACGAGCAGGAGCAUUGUCGUGAUGGAGAUGGACUCUCUGGGGAGGCUUUCCCGGGGGGGGUUUUGCUGAAGCUUUGGCUAACAUUCCCUAAACAUUCUCAUACUAAGCAGAUGUUACAUUCCUUGUUACCCCUCCAGAAAGUCAGCAAGCAGAAUGCCUUAAGCAUCCCAAAAGCUGUUGCCACAAUGUGCUCUUGACUGGCCCACUUUUGCUCUGAUGGGACCACUUCCAGCCCUCAGCACCAUUGCCUUGACUGCACUUGGUCUUCAGGACCAUACCAGGAAAGCCACGUUUCAUGUCGCUAUAGUUCAAAGAGAGCUUCAGGAUCUCCAUCCCACUUGUUCAAAGUUACCACUGACAGCUCUGCUCUUCUCUGCGCCUGAUGUGGGCGCAAUGGGUUUGGCACCCAUUGAGUGGAAAGUCUGCUCAACUUUCAUUUUUCUGUCAGAAUUGUGUAAGCUCAACCUACUGAGCUGUCUGUGGUGUUGGCCACUAUUUCUGCUGUUAACCAC